CUUGGUCAUUUAGAGGAAGUAAAAGUCGUAACAAGGUCUCCGUAGGUGAACCUGCGGAGGGAUCAUUACUGAGUGAGGGCCUUCGGGCUCGACCUCCAACCCUUUGUGAACACAACUUGUUGCUUCGGGGGCGACCCUGCCGUUUCGACGGCGAGCGCCCCCGGAGGCCUUCAAACACUGCAUCUUUGCGUCGGAGUUUAAGUAAAUUAAACAAAACUUUCAACAACGGAUCUCUUGGUUCUGGCAUCGAUGAAGAACGCAGCGAAAUGCGAUAAGUAAUGUGAAUUGCAGAAUUCAGUGAAUCAUCGAAUCUUUGAACGCACAUUGCGCCCCUUGGUAUUCCGAGGGGCAUGCCUGUUCGAGCGUCAUUUCACCACUCAAGCCUCGCUUGGUAUUGGGCGCCGCGGUGUUCCGCGCGCCUCAAAGUCUCCGGCUGAGCUGUCCGUCUCUAAGCGUUGUGAUUUCAUUAAUCGCUUCGGAGCGCGGGCGGUCGCGGCCGUUAAAUCUUUUACAAGGUUGACCUCGGAUCAGGUAGGGAUACCCGCUGAACUUAAGCAUAUCAAUAAGCGGAGGA
rnacentral:rRNA from 1 species